rnacentral:rRNA from 1 species
UGGGGAAUAUUGCACAAUGGGCGAAAGCCUGAUGCAGCAACGCCGCGUGAGUGAUGAAGGUCUUCGGAUUGUAAAGCUCUGUCUUUUGGGACGAUAAUGGCGGUACCAAAGGAGGAAGCCACGGCUAACUACGUGCCAGCAGCCGCGGUAAUACGUAGGUGGCGAGCGUUGUCCGGAUUUACUGGGCGUAAAGGGUGCGUAGGCGGAUGUUUAAGUGAGAUGUGAAAUACCCGGGCUUAACUUGGGUGCUGCAUUUCAAACUGGAUAUCUAGAGUGCAGGAGAGGAGAAUGGAAUUCCUAGUGUAGCGGUGAAAUGCGUAGAGAUUAGGAAGAACACCAGUGGCGAAGGCGAUUCUCUGGACUGUAACUGACGCUGAGGCACGAAAGCGUGGGUAGCAAACAGGAUUAGAUACCCUGGUAGUCCACGCCGUAAACGAUGAGUACUAGGUGUAGGAGGUAUCGACCCCUUCUGUGCCGCAGUAAACACAUUAAGU